rnacentral:lncRNA from 1 species
UUCUUAUUUUUUAUGCACAGCUGGCUUUGGGAUCUGAGGUAGUCUUAAAGAAAUAAGGCCUUUUAGUUUCGCUGCAGGGUGGGGUUUGGCAUUUAGAGUGAAAUAUGCACAUAACCUGUUAAACGAGGUAGGCUUUAUUCCUUGCCCAGAAAAAGUUCCUAAUGCACCCAUGGAAGCCAUAUCUCCUGAAGGAACCAAACAGAAACCAAAACCAAACUGGCAUAUCUGCAUUUGACGUUAAAAAACCUUACUGGUUAAGCUUACAUGAUGUACCUAUCCUUUUAUUUAUUUAUUUACUUAGUUAAGGUCGGCAGACCUCUCUCAUAGUUUCCAUUAUUAAACUGUUCUCUCCUUUGACCUCAAUCAAAAAUAAUUAGAAUUGGCACUUACUGGCUACUGACUAGAUAUUGCUGUGAGCCGGUCAUGCAGAACUAUUUAUCUAAGCCUCCCUUGUGACGUAUAUAUUAUGAUCCAGUUUCCAAAUGAGGAAACUGAGGCCCAGGGAGGUUAAAUCAUUUGUUAAAGGUCAUUCAGCUCAGUUACGUGAAGAGCUGAAAUUUCCAUCCAGGCUGUCUGGUUAGAUUAAACGCAAACACUACCCAGGAGCAUAUGAAAUCAGGAUUUAGAAUUUUUCUAAGCCAUAAGAAUCUGUUUUGCCAGAGGGAAUGCUGAGAAAACGGAUGCCUUGUUUUUCCUGAGAUUCCUUUGAGUUCUCUUUAUUGUCCUUGAAAGAAGAAAGCGCUUAAAAGUUCACAAAUUUGGAAACAGGCUUCCCCCGUUGAUGAAGUAGCAGCAGAGAAGAAAAUAGACUCUGGGGGAGGCAGAAGUGGUUUGAUUUCUAGUGAAACCAACCAGCUGAGUGAUGUUGGGCAAGUCGCUUAUGGUCGCUGCAUUUUGGGUUCCUCAUUUGUAAAGUGAGUAAUAACAUAUCCUCGAGUUGUUCUAAGGUUUGAGUGAUACAAUUCAGGUAAUGUGCCUAAGGCAAAGCCUGGCACACACAGAGUGCUCAAGCAAGCAAACUGCAGAUAAACGUUUCAGAAUGGUGAGAAUAAAUUCUGGCUCUGCCACUGAGAAAUAAGACAACCUUGGAUCAUUAUUUCACUUUGGGGAACUUUAUAAAGGACAGGUAUCAUAUGGUAUAUAAAUCAAUAAUCUAGGGUGGUCCUUAUCACUUAACUAGGUGGCAUGUUUCUGCUCGUAAAUACAACACCACACAAAAGAAACAAAGCCCAGCAAGAGGAAACUAGGGAUGGUAUGUAAACCUAGUAUGUCAAUAUUUUGAUGUGUAGAAAAAGUUUUUUUUUUUUUAAAUAUCUUAGUGCCAAGAAACAAAACCACACAAUGAAGAUGGGUUUUUUGGGGGGAAAAAAGAGUUUUUACAGGAUGACAUAAUUUUUUUCUUUUCUUUUUUUUUUUUUUUUUUUGCCUUUUUAGGCCCACACUCAAGACACAUGGAGGUUCCCAGGCUAGGGGUUGAAUUGGAGCUCCCCCCCACCAAAGUAAAUAAAAGACGCAACAGUUAGCAACUGAUAGUUGAUUUCUUUUUACUUAUUCCCAUCACUGCCAUGGAGUGAUUGCUUUAACUUUAUAGUCAUAAUUCGGUUAAUUUGUCAGGACUGGAUAGAAGGUAUGAAAAUGCCGGAUACACUAAAUUUUACUUGUGUCCUCUUACGUUGUCUGUUUAUGAAUGUGUUGGUGAAGUACAUGGACUUAAAAGUGAGAGAGGCUGCAGUCAUAGCAGUGGGUACCUGGAUGUAGUAUAGGAGAAAUUCUUUUGAAGGUAUAUAAUUAUAGUGAUAAUUAAUAAAACAUAUUUAUGAAUGCUUGAAGAGAGCUAAAGCUGGCAUCCCAAUUUAAGAGAAAUAUUUUUCUUUAACAUUUACCUUGUUGUGAAAACGGCACUCCCCAAAGGUAUUUGUAUUGGCCCGCUUUGAUCACUGAAGAUCCAGGGCAUUUGUUUCAAUAUUGGUAUCUUUUCAGCACUGGAGAAUCAGUUUUAGAACAAUAUAAGUUAUAUCUAAUAGCAAGCUGAUAAUCAAAUGUUGAAGUCAUUUACUCUUUUAGUACAUGUGACCCCUUAAUAAAUUAGUAGUAGAAAAAUAAUGGGACUUUGUAGACAGUGUCACUUAGUUCUGUGAGAUUUUCCAUCAGCAUGUUUAGAACAUGACAUUCAAGAAAAAGAAAAAAAUCGCCUUUCCUUUAAGGAACCCCUUUUUUUUUUUUUUUUUUUUGGCUUUUUUUGUCUUUUCAGUGCCGUACCCACAGCAUAUGGGGGUUCCCAGGCUAGGGGUCCAGUUGGAGCCACACUCAUGCCAGAUCCAAGCUGCGUCUGCGACUUACACCACAGCUCCUGGCAACGCGGGUUCAUUAACCCACUGAGCAAGGCCUGGGAUCAAACCCACAACCUCAUGGUUCCUACUUGGAUUGGUUUCCGCUACACCAUGAUGGGAAUUCCUAAGGUGUUAUAUUUCUGAAUGGUUUUUUGAAAGUGAGCUGAAAGCUGAUUGGAUCUGAGCUGGCAAUUCUUUCAAGACCAUCAGUUUUAGGGGUCAGGCAUAAAAUCAGUAAACAAGAGUUAUAGCAUCAAUGAAAUACAACUCUGAGAGCCUAAAGACAGGAUGUGAAAAUGACUUGAAAGAUAUAGCACUUAAAACUCAAGAUACAGAAAUAUAUAGCCUUGAGGGAAAAAUGUCUUUGGUUAAAUACAGAAAUACUGGACCACUAACCUAAAUUUAACAAGACACAUGAAGGAGUAUUUUUGUAUGGAGGAUCUGACCUGUGUAUAGUUUUAGGGAAUUAAAUAUUAUUCCCACUUAAAUAGCUGUUGACAAAUAUUAUAUUCUUUAUAAGACCAUGGAAAUAAAAGAAAAUAUUACUCAAAAAGAACCUACAGUUGUCUCUGUUGAUCUUAAAGACUGUCAGAAGGAGUGAUUAUUAACCUGAAAUUUGCGUACAUUAAUUUUGGUAAUGAAAUAACUUAGCAUUAGUUAAGCAUUUGAAAUUACAGAAGGUAUAAUGGGUUGAGUUUGAAUGUGGUUGCUUUUAGAAAAGAAAGGGUAAUAGUUAUAGAUUUAGUAUUGAGUACUUCAAAUACACACACUUGCACACACACACACACACACACACACACUACACUUCAUAUAACAUCCUGAACAUUAUUUUUUCUUUAAGAUUAACUCGACUAAUUUAGGUGGUGUCUAUGAUAUUCAUUGGCUAACCAAACAAUGAUUUAAGGGAAAAAUGCAUGAUGUCAUAAGUGUGUACCCCCAAAACUUAAAAAAUAUCUUUUAUUUUAUUGCAGAGGUUUUACCCUUGGAAGAAUUGUUAAGGUUCUGAGCUCAAAAACAUCAGUUAAGUACAUUCUUAUGACUAAAGUAAUACUCUGUUGCAAUGGAGAGUAGUGUUUACAUCAAUCCAGGCAGUUUUAUGUAGCAAAGACCUUUAUUUCACAAGGCAGACUAGGGUCUGACCCUGAAGGCUGAUAGAGUUUGAGUUCACUGCUUCUAGCAUUGGACCCUGUAGUCAACUAAAUGUGUUUUUCCCCUACAUUUUCAUUCUGCCCCCAGAAUCUAAGGAAUGAAUGCUGACCCCUCAAUGGUAGGUGAAUCAAUUCAGCACUGUGCUCAGAACAGCUCCUCAAAUGCUACUGUGCAAUUGCUGCUAGUCACCGUGUGGGUUGCGUGGUUGAAGCGUACACAAGUCUAGUGACAUUUGCUUCUGGCCAGUAAGCAAGGAUAUAUUUUAUAUAUAGCUAUAUAAGUAUAUAUACUUUUAUUUUAUUUCGGAAAAAUGGAGAAAUGAGCAAAGCAUUUAACAUUUCUCCUGAGUGCUGAAGAGCCUGUUGAGGUUUGCUUUGUGGUGGUGGGCUGGGGUGGGGGUUAGGAAGGAGCAGUUGAGGAGGGCUAAGGAAUCAAGUAGUCUGGGAAACUGACUUUUGCAUAGAAGUGGGGAGAAAUGGCAUAAAUGUUUCCUAGAACACCAACUUUCUUUGCAGAGGCAAAGAAAAGCAGUCAAACAGGACAAAAUUAUAAUAGUUUAGUCAACAAAUACAAUUAAGGACCUUUAGUUUCUCCUCAAGGGCUAUAGAUAAUAUUAUGAGCCAUAUUCUUUGAGCUAUUUUACAGAUACUGACACUUCUCCGGGUGGAAGAUGUUAACAGCAUGAUGACCAGACUUUUGCCAUGACAUAAGCUGCUCCAUUCUUACACAAUUUCAAGAACUGGCCUCAAGGAAAUAGGAAUAAACUGACCUGAUAGUUGAAGAUUAACUGUACCUCAAACAAUCAAGACCACUGAUCAGACUACUGUAUGACCAAUUUAAGAUGAUUGUCAAAACUACUUGUGCUGUUCUCCACAUAGCCCCGAAACUCCCUUUUAGAAAUUCUUGUCUCCUGAUUGACAAUGGGAAGGUGGUUCUUUGGGAUGUGAGUCCAUCUUCUCCCAAGGAUUGCUGGCUUUUCAAUAGAGCUAUCUUUCCUUUUAUCCAACACUUGUCUCUUAGUAUUGGAUUCUUGAAUGAUGAGCAGUGGAACCUGAGUUUGGAAACAAUACUGAUAUAAAGAAUUGUGAGGGUGUAUGUAACAGAGAAGGUAAAAAAGGGAACAACUCUGGUCAUAUAUGAGGAAUAAUAUGCUUUUCUUUUUGAGUGGAAGAGGGCCCUCAUAAAAAUCCUCUGUAAAUUUUACAACAGAUGAUCAGUUGAUUCUGAAUUGUCUUCAAAUAAGUUUAUUCCUGUUGGCAACAUGAGAUUCCUCAGUCCUACUGAGUAUCAAUAUAUAACCAUUCAGCAAAAGAAUAAUAACGGAUUAAUGAGACUAACUCCCCACCCAUUCAAAUGUCUUUCCUCUUUCCAUUUUCAGGAAUCAGAGAUUAACAAUGUCUACAGGGCCCCUUUCAUUCAAGCAAGAUUUAUCUAGAGAAAAACUUUUCAAAAGAAGACCUAUGAAUUUCUUUCUGUUACUUCUCUUUAUUCCACCCCCCAUGGUUGUACCUAGCUCUUUCUUGGGUAGAGUAUGAUGACAGAAAGCUAACUCUGUAGUAGAAUGGAUGUGUUCUUAGGUAAAAGAGAGGAAAUUGGUCAUUUAUAUGGUCAGAGAUGCUCUGAGGAAUCCUAGUAUUUUCAUCAGCUCACUCAUAUUUUCAGAGUUUCAUUAUUUAUUAAUAAAAUGACUUCUGUAAUGUGUUUAAAGAAGGUGGAGCAGUUCCUAUUUUGGCUCAGUAGGUCAAGAACUAGUAUCCAUGAGGACGCAGGUUUGAUCCCUGGCCUCGUUCAGUGGGUUAAGGAUCCAGUGUUGCCACAAGCUGCAGCAUAGGUUGCAGAUGCAGCUCAGAUCUGUCAUUGCUGUGGCUGUGGCAUAGGCCUGCAGCUGCAGCUCCGAUUUGAUCCCUAGCAUAGGAACUUACAUAUGCCACAGGUACGGCCCUAGAAAGAAAAAGAAGAAAAAAGAAGA